rnacentral:lncRNA from 1 species
AGGAAACUGUAUCUGCUGGAAGAACUGUCAAUUGAAAUGUUGUCAAAGUCUUCGCUUCCAGGUGAAGAAGGCAUUGAAGAAACACUCUCAAGGUCUGUGUCACCGUGACCCCGUUCAGAUCCUGCAUACUCCAACAUCAGUUGUUUAGCCCUCUCCUGUGAUUUGGGGCUCAGUGUCCUGUUAAGAUCACGUGCAGACACCUUCCCUGAUGGAGUCUGAUAGUUGCGGAGUUCGAAUCUCAGACAGGCAUUGACCCAGCGCAGGUAUACCAACUCCUCUACUUCACUGAACCUGUUCAUCUGUAGGCCUUCCACUUGCUUUGUGAGGUCCUCAUUUGUAUGCCUCAGCUUGUUUAUCUCUUCCCUUGCAUUGGCAACUACAUCACUCUACAUGAUAAAUGGUAGGGUAUGCAAUUAGCACAUGUUCCUGCUUCCCAAACUAUAUCAAAACUAUAUGAAUACUUUGCAGAAAUCACUAGGUGCAUUCUUGCCUCUUAGAGAACCUUAAAUUCUGAUGUAGUUGUUAAAUGUAAUGCUACCUCUUAAAUCAUGCUUUAGUUUUAGGUAACUGCAUUUCGUUGUACUGGUCUGAAAAUAUGUUAAUACUAGACUGUGUAAUAUCCUGCAUAAUGAUAACCAUGUAUAAGAGGAAGUUACAAAUUUUCUGUCAUCUUCAUGAGAUUUGUCUUAUGUCUAUGAGACUGGCAACUUAUAAAGACUAAUAGUACUAAGAUACCUCAGUUAUUUUCCCUUCAGCUGCAUCCAACUUCACAAUGAGAUCUCUCUUCUCGUACAACAACUCCUUGUUCUUCCUUCUUAGCUCAAGUACCUCCACUUCGAACUCCUUGAGCUUCUUCAGCUUCCGCUCAACCUCGACUUCCUUUUUUGCCGCCUCUUCCUCCUUGGCCUUCAAUCCGAUGACCUGCUGUUUCAGCAGCAUCAGCUGACCUUUUGUCUGGCCUGCUUCCAGCUGUAUCUGCCGCUGCAGCUCCUUUAUCUUGCUCCUAGCCACUUCGAGCUCUUUCUUGGCAACUUCUCCACGUGCAACGUCAUCUUGCAGUUUCUUCCGCUCCUCCUGCAGUGAGUUUAUGGUGUCGUUGAGCAUGUUGAUCUCCACUGCCUUGAUCUUGAGCUGCUUUUGCAGCUCAGUGACAUCAGUCUCCAUUUCCUUCAUUCCAUAGUACUCCAGCAGCUCGCCCUCAAGCUUCGCCUCCCUCUCUUCCAUCUCCCUCACCAGGCUGCGCAGUCUCUCUAUCUCAGAGGCCACGUUAGCCAUGUAAGAAAGCUCGCCCUCAAGCUUUGCCUCCCUCUCUUCCAUCUCCAUCACCAGGCUGCGCAGCCUCUCUAUCUCAGAGGCCUCAUUAGCCAUGUAAGCAAGCUGGCCCUCAAGCUUUGCCUCCCUCUCUUCCAUCUCCCUCACCAGGCUGCGCAGUCUCUCUAUCUCAGAGGCCUUGUUAGCCAUGUAAGCAAGCUCGCCCUCAAGCUUUGCCUCCCUCUCUUCCAUCUCUCUCACCAGGCUGCGCAGUCUCUCUAUCUCAGAGGCCUCGUUAGCCAUGUAAGCAAGCUCGCCCUCAAGCUUUGCCUCCCUUUCUUCCAUCUCUCUCACCAGGCUGCGCAGUCUCUCUAUCUCAGAGGCCUCGUUAGCCAUGUAAGCAUUGUACCGUGGCCGUCCAUUGACAUCAAACCGAUCACGUGGUAUAGGGAUGUCAAUGUCUCCUGACAGGAGGCUCUCGAUCUCGGAAAGCAUAUCAUCAUCGUCAUCGUCUAGUGAACGGGCUGAGUUAAUUAUGCCACUGAUUGUUUUGACCUCUUCCUCCUCUUCUUUCUCCCCAUCCUCUUCUUCUCUCUCCCCCUGUAACAGCAGUUGGAGAGGUCAGUAUGACAUAGGCCACUAAUACAGCACAAUUUUCUUUGAGCAAACUUUAACUGAUAUAAGAUGUACGUACAUGUUCAGAAUUGCGAGCCUUAUCCUCCCUUUUCCUUGCUUGGUCAUUGUCUGAAAGCAGGGAUGCUUGAAUGAAGACUCAAAUGAAUGGAAGAAACAUAUAGAAGAGAGUGCAGAGCAAGAUUGGUACCCUUGUUGUGCCUGCCCCCAUUGUUAGCUCUCUGAAGAGUUAAAGCUGCGACAGAGGCUACAACGACAAAGCCUAAUCUCACAAGCAUGACUCCGUUCACUCAUCACUCUGCCGGCCUCAACCGGCAGGACGGCCGAGACGGGGAGCCUCUACUCAUCAAGAACAAGAAAAGGUGAAGUGGAGUUAGAGCAGGUAUGGACGCCCUAGCAGGCUAAACUCUCUUCAUAUCUUUUAGGAUUUAGCUCCGAGAUGGAUUGCAGGAGCUGCUUGCCUGCGAGAGCUGAUGAACAUACACCACCAAAACAUGUGGCUGGUUUUAUUCGUCCCAUUUUGGCGCUGCAAUUGCCUGUAUGUGUUUAUCCGCUUGCAAAAACGAACUCAUGUAUCACAAAAGUCACUUUCACGCCUCUGUGUCCAGUACUGUGGUACUAUCUGGUAGCUGACAAAAUUUCCAUAUCCUGAUGCUACCAGGACGAAAGCGAGCCUCUUCGUGGCUGCUGAUUUGGCCCGGCCGUGAUGCACAGCGAAAGAUUUGUGGCUUGGAAGCUAGUAGGCCCAUUUGCUAAGCACGGGAAUGGGUGGUGGCUGGUGUGCUUGGAUACCACAGGAAAAAUGAGGAGGGGAGAGUUAUCAGGCUCACAGGAUGGAGCAUGUCACUACCCUAUUUUGGAUGCUAGUCUAGAUUUAUUUUAUCUAAAGCAAUAGUGGACUUUUUUACUAUUUGCAGAGGCGCCGUUGCUUCUUCUACUGUAUACUCUGGAAAAUUGGACUGGCUUUUGACUGGACGUAAUUGCAACAACUGCUUCUACAUUCAGAUACUGUUUUACUGUACUGGAAGAUUAUUUUGAUGGAUAAACUGAGCUGCUAACUGAUAAGAGCGUAGGCGCGCUUAGUCCGCUUUUGCCAGUUGCAAAUUGCAUUCUGGGCAGAGUAGCUAAUCAUGAAUCAUUUGAUCAUUGGUCUUUACUGUACCAAUCCAUGGUCCCAACCUCGAAGACAUAGUAAGCAUACAAAAAAAAAGACUAUGCAAUUAUAGAAAUUGUAUUGCUGUGUCCAAAUAAAGACAUGUUGUAAACAUUGCAGGAAAUCAAGUAGGUAAAACAGUGAAAUUGGAUAGAUCAUCUGCUAACGAGUAUUCCAACAGGCUUGCCGUUUUGAGACAUCAACCACACAUAUUUCAGAACUUCACGGACAACAUUCUUGUUUCGUGGACUUGUUCUCAAUCU